rnacentral:rRNA from 2 species
CCAAGGAGUCUAACAUGUGCGCGAGUCGUCGGGUCUUGAACAGGCCUGCAGGCACAAUGAAAGUGAAGGGCGACCUCGUUGUCGUCUGCGUUGGGAUCCCCGGUCCGCAGUGUCCGGGGCGCACCAACGGCCCGUCCCUUCUGCCACGUCAGUGGGACGGAGCGAGAGCGUACACGUUGGGACCCGAAAGAUGGUGAACUAUGCCUGGGCAGGACGAGGCCAGAGGAAACUCUGGUGGAGGUCCGCAGCGAUUCUGACGUGCAAAUCGAUCGUCAGACCUGGGUAUAGGGGCGAAAGACUAAUCGAACCAUCUAGUAGCUGGUUCCCUCCGAAGUUUCCCUCAGGAUAGCUGGCGCUCGAAGGGAGUCAGUCUCAUCCGGUAAAGCGAAUGAUUAGAGGCCUUGGGGCCGAAACGACCUCAACCUAUUCUCAAACUUUCAAUGGGUGAGAAGUCCGGUUUACAUGACUGAAGCCCGGACAAUUCUCAGGAUGUGAGUGCCCAGUGGGCCACUUUU